ensembl:lncRNA
GGAGAAUCCACCCUUGGAGGAGGAGGGAGGAAGUGCAGGGACAGAGGGACCAGCCCGAUCUAAGUCUGGAUGUGGAAGAGAGGGCAGGGGUCCCAGGCCCAGGACUUGCCUCUCCUGGUGCCCACGCGGGACCAAGUCCUUUCCCGGCUGGGUGGGGUCGGGCCUCAUAAUGUGUCUGUGUGCUCGACCACCACGGGAAAGGUUAUUUCUUAGGGCUGUGAUGUAGCUCAGGGUAGAGCCCUUGCCUAGCAUGUGCAAGGCCCGGGGUUCAAUGGCCAGCACUGAAAAGAAAAGAAGGAUACUCAUUGGGCACCUGCUGUUUGCUAGGCUGCGAGCUGUCAUUCACCGCAGGAAAAGGUGGCCAGAACCUAUUCGGCUCCAGCCCAUUCAGGGUCCUGGCCGCUCCACAGAGACCCCAGCUUGGCUUGGGAAAGAGCGAGGAGCAUCAGCGCCCCCCUGGUGGACACCGGCUUGGAAGAUACCGGUGGUCUGGACUUGAAGGAUGGGGGCGCCAGCAGAUGUCCCAGGUCUAUGAACUGUGGACCGUGCACAGAAUUGUGCGAUCAUCACUACAAUCAAGACAGACAACAUCUCCAUCGAAUCUACGGGUCCUGUGCCCCUUGGUAACUACUGCUGACACUUUCAUCCAGCCUGACAGAAUUCCACUGGCCCUGGGCUCCCUCCAGACCAAAGAGAAAGUGGCUACACAGCCCUCUUGUCCCCAG